UUGAUCCUGGCUCAGAAUCAACGCUGGCGGCGUGCCUAACACAUGCAAGUCGAACGCGGUUGCCCCGCAAGGGGUAACUGAGUGGCGAACGGGUGAGUAUCACGUGGGUGACCUACCCUCGAGUGGGGGAUAACAUCCCGAAAGGGGUGUUAAUACCGCAUGACAUCCUGUCUUUGAACAGAUGGACAUUAAAGCCGGGUAUCGUAAGACCUGGCGCUCGUGGAGGGGCCCGCGCCCGAUUAGCUAGUUUGUGAGGUAACGGCUCACCAAGGCUUCGAUCGGUAUCCGGCCUGAGAGGGUGGACGGACACACUGGGACUGAGACACGGCCCAGACUCCUACGGGAGGCAUCAGUGGGGAAUUGUUCGCAAUGGGCGAAAGCCUGACGACGCAACGCCGCUUGGAGGACGAAGAUCUUCGGGUCGUAAACUCCUUUCGAUCGGGACGAAUUAUCGGCGACCUAAUACGUCGCCGGAAUGACGGUACCGAGAGAAGAAGCCUCGGCUAACUCCGUGCCAGCAGCCGCGGUAAUAAGGU
rnacentral:rRNA from 1 species